rnacentral:rRNA from 1 species
GACGAACGCUGGCGGCGUGCUUAACACAUGCAAGUCGAACGCUGAAGCUCAGCUUUUGUUGGGUGGAUGAGUGGCGAACGGGUGAGUAACACGUGAGUAACCUGCCUCCUUCUUUGGGAUAACGCCCGGAAACGGGUGCUAAUACUGGAUAUUCACUGGUCUUCGCAUGGGGGUUGGUGGAAAGGGUUUUUCUGGUGGGGGAUGGGCUCGCGGCCUAUCAGCUUGUUGGUGGGGUGAUGGCCUACCAAGGCUUUGACGGGUAGCCGGCCUGAGAGGGUGACCGGUCACAUUGGGACUGAGAUACGGCCCAGACUCCUACGGGAGGCAGCAGUAGGGAAUAUUGCACAAUGGGCGCAAGCCUGAUGCAGCGACGCCGCAUGAGGGAUGGAGGCCUUCGGGUUGUGAACCUCUUUCGCUCAUGGUCAAGCCGCAACAAUGGUUGUGGUGAGGGUAGUGGGUAAAGAAGCGCCGGCUAACUACGUG